rnacentral:rRNA from 1 species
GAUGAACGCUGGCGGUCUGCUUAACACAUGCAAGUCGAACGGUGUCUUCGGAAUAGUGGCGGACGGGUGAGUAACGCGUGAGAAUCUGCCUUCAGGUUGGGGACAACAGUUGGAAACGACUGCUAAUACCCAAUGUGCCGAGAGGUGAAAGCUUUAGUGCCUGAGGAUGAGCUCGCGUCUGAUUAGCUAGUUGGUGGGGUAAUGGCCUACCAAGGCGACGAUCAGUAGCUGGUCUGAGAGGAUGAUCAGCCACACUGGGACUGAGACACGGCCCAGACUCCUACGGGAGGCAGCAGUGGGGAAUUUUCCGCAAUGGGCGCAAGCCUGACGGAGCAAGACCGCGUGAGGGAGGAAGGCUCUUGGGUUGUAAACCUCUUUUAUCAGGGAAGAAGAUCUGACGGUACCUGAUGAAUCAGCAUCGGCUAACUCCGUGCCAGCAGCCGCGGUAAUACGGAGGAUGCAAGCGUUAUCCGGAUUUAUUGGGCGUAAAGCGUCCGCAGGUGGUUAUUCAAGUCUGCUGUUAAAGCGCGAGGCUUAACCUCGUACCGGCGGUGGAAACUGAAUGACUAGAGUAUGGUAGGGGUAGCGGGAAUUCCCAGUGUAGCGGUGAAAUGCGUAGAUAUUGGGAAGAACACCAGCGGCGAAAGCGCGCUACUGGGCCAUAACUGACACUCAUGGACGAAAGCUAGGGGAGCGAAAGGGAUUAGAUACCCCUGUAGUCCUAGCUGUAAACGAUGGGUACUAGGUGUUGACCG